GAUGAACGCUGGCGGCGUGCCUAAUACAUGCAAGUCGAGCGAACAGACGAGGAGCUUGCUCCUCUGACGUUAGCGGCGGACGGGUGAGUAACACGUGGAUAACCUACCUAUAAGACUGGGAUAACUUCGGGAAACCGGAGCUAAUACCGGAUAAUAUAUUGAACCGCAUGGUUCAAUAGUGAAAGACGGUUUUGCUGUCACUUAUAGAUGGAUCCGCGCCGCAUUAGCUAGUUGGUAAGGUAACGGCUUACCAAGGCAACGAUGCGUAGCCGACCUGAGAGGGUGCUCGGCCACACUGGAACUGAGACACGGUCCAGACUCCUACGGGAGGCAGCAGUAGGGAAUCUUCCGCAAUGGGCGAAAGCCUGACGGAGCAACGCCGCGUGAGUGAUGAAGGUCUUCGGAUCGUAAAACUCUGUUAUUAGGGAAGAACAAAUGUGUAAGUAACUAUGCACGUCUUGACGGUACCUAAUCAGAAAGCCAGGGCUAACUACGUG
rnacentral:rRNA from 1 species